rnacentral:lncRNA from 1 species
AUGACCACUCCAGGAAGUACUACCACAGAAACCACAACAUCAGAAAGCACCACUACUAUCCCCACAACUCCAGUCAGUGCAACAACAGAGACCACAAUGGCAGAAAGUAAGACCAAUGGUGCCACUACUGCAGAAAGUAUUGCCUCAGAGACCACAACAACAAGCAUCACCACCACACAAGAAAGCACAACAACCGAGACCACAACAACAGAAACCCCUCGUACUACAACUUCAAAAAUUACAACAACAGAGACCACAACACCAGAAAGCAUAACAACUAAGACCACAGAAAUAGAAAGUACCACUGCAGGCACAACAAUGGAAACCACAACAACAGAAAACACCAGCCUCGGCACAACGACUGAGACCACAAGAAUAAAAAGUACCACCACAGGCACCACAGCUGAAAUCACAACAACAGAAGGGACCACCACUCCAGACAGUACUACCACAGAGACCACAACAACAGAAAGCACCACGAUCGAUACCACAACUCCAAAAAGCACCACAAUGACAGAAAGUACAACUGCUGGCACAACAACUUCAGAAAGUACAACACCAGAGACCACAACAAAAGAAAGUACCACCCCUGAGAUAACAACCAAGACCACAACAACAGAAAGUACCACCACAACUGAGAUCACAUCAACAGAAGGAACCACCACUCCGGAAAGUACUACCGCAGAGACCACAACAACAAAAAGCACCACUACCGGUACCACAACUCCAGAAAGCCCUACAAUGACAGAAAGUACAACAACUGGUACCACCACUACAGAAAGUAAAACAACGGAAACCACAACAAGAGAAAGUACCAUCACCGGCACAACAACCGAGGCCAUAACAAUAGAAGGUACCACCACUGGAACCACAACAGAAAGCACCACCACCAGUACCACAGCUCCAGAAAACACCGCAAUGACAAAGAGUACAACUACCGGCACAACCAGUGGCACAAACACUCUAGAGAGUACAACUGAGACCACAACAACAGAAAGUACCACCUACGGCACAACAACUGAGACCACAAGAAUAGAAAGUACCACCACAGGCACCAACACUGAUAUCACAACAACAGAUGAUACCACCAAGCCAGAAAGUACUACCACAGAGACCACUGGCACAACCAUUGGCACCACUACUCCAGAAUUUACAACAGACUCCACAACAACAGAAAGUACCAACACAAGCACCACAACUGAGAUCACAACAAGAGAAGGCCCCACUACCCCAGAUAGUACUAUCAAAGAGACCACAACAACAAAAAGCACCACCACCAGUACCACAACUCCAGAAAGCACCACAAUGACAGAAAGUUCAACCGCUGUCACCACCACUCCAGAAAGUAUAACAACAGAGACCACAGCAACAGAGAGCACCACCACAAGCACCAAAAAUGAGAUCACAACAACAGAAGGCACCACUAGCCCAGAAAGUACUACUACAGAGACCACACGAACAGAAAGCCCCACGAUCGAUACCACAACUCCAGAAAGCUCCACAAUGGCAAAGAGUACAACUGCUGGCACAACAACUUCAGAAAGUACAACACCAGAGACCACAACAAUAGAAAGUACCACCCCCGGGACAACAACCGAGACCACAACAACAGAAAGUACCACCACAGUCACCACAACUGUGAUCACACCAACAGAAGGCACCACCACUCCAGAAAGUACUACCACAGAGCCCACAACAACAGAAAGCACCACGGUCGAUACCACAACUCCAGAAAGCACCACAAUGACAGAAAGUACAACUGCUGGCACAACGACUUCAGAAAGUACUACCACAGAGACCACAACAACAGAAAGCACCACGGCCGAUACCACAACUCCAGAAAGCACCCCAAUGACAGAAAGUACAACUGUUGGCACAACAACUUCAGAGAGUACAACAACAGAACGUACCACCCCCGGGACAACAACCGAGGCAGCAACAAUAGAAAGUACCACCACAGUCACCAAAGCAGAGAUUACUACAAAAGAAAGCACCACCACCAGUACCACAACUCCAGAAAACACCACAAUGAUAGAAAGUACAAACACUGGCACCACCACCCCAGAAAGUACAAUAACGGAGACCACAACAACAGAAAGUACCACCACAGUCACCACAACUGUGAUCACACCAACAGAAGGCACCACCACUCCAAAAAGUACUACCACAGAGACCACAACAACAGAAAGAACCACGGCCGAUACCACAACUCCAGAAAGCACCACAAUGACAGAAAGUACAACUGCUGGCACAACAACUUCAGAAAGAACAACACCAGAGACCACAACAAGAGAAAGUACCACCCCCGGGACAACAACCGAGACCACAACAACAGAAAGUACCACCACAGUCACCACAACUGAGAUCACAACAACAGAAGGAGCUACCACUCCGGAAAGUACUACCACAGAGACCACAACAACAGAAAGCACCAUCACCGGUACCACAACUCCAGAAAGCCCCACAAUGACAGAAAGUACAACCACUGGUACCACCACUACAGAGAGUGCAACAAUGGAAACCACAACAACAGAAAGUACUACCACCGGCACACCAACCAAGGCCAUAACAAUAGAAGGUACCACCAAUGGAACCACAACAGAGAUCACUACAACAGAAGGCACUACCAAUCCAGAAAGUACUACCACAAAGACCACAAUAACAGAAAGUACCACCAUUGGUACCAUAACUCUAGAAAGCACCACAAUGAUAGAAAUUACAACCACUGGCACUACCACUCCAGAAAGUACAACAACGGAGACCACAAAAACAGAAAGCACCACCAUUGCUAUCACAACUCCUGAAAGCACCACAAUGUUAGAAAAUACAACCACAGGCACAACCGCUUCAGAAACAACAACAACACAGACCACCACAAAAGAAAGUACCACCCCCGGCAAUACAACGGAAACCACAACAACAGAAAGUACCACCACAACUGAGAUCACAACAACAGAAGGCACCGCCACUACAGAAAGUACUACCACUGGCACCACCACCCCAGAAAGUACAGCAAUGGAGAUCACAACAACAGAAAGCACCACCACUGGUACCACAACACCCGAAAGCACCACAAUGACAGAACGUACAACCACUGGCACCACCACUUCAGAAAGUACAACAACAGAGACCACAACAACAGAAAGAACAACCACUGGCUCCACCCCUCCAGAAAGUACAACAAAGCAGACCACAACAACAGAAAAUGCCACCACAACUGAGAUCACAACAACAGAAGACACCACCACUACAGAAAGUAGUACUAUAGAGACCACAACAACAGAAAGCACCGCAAUGACAGAAAGUACAACCAGUGGCACCUACACAAGAGAGACCACAACAACAGAAAGCACCACCCCUGGAAUUACAACUUCAGAAAGUACAACAAUGGAAACCACAAAUACAGACGAUACCACAACUCCAGAAAGCACCACAACAGGCACUAUAACAACAGAAAGCACCACCAAAGGUACCACAACACCAGAAAGCACAACAACUGAGACCACAACAAUAGAAAGCACCACCACAGGCACCACAACAGAGACCAUAACAACAGAAAGCACCACCACUGGUUCUACAACUCCAGAAAUCACAACAGUGUUAGAAAGUACAACCACUGGCACCACUACUCCAGAAAGUACAACAACAGAGACCACAACAAUAGAAAGUACUACCACAACUGAGAGCACAAGAACAGAAGGAACCACCACUACAGAAAAUACUACCACAGAGACCACAACAACAGAAAGCACUACCACCAGUAUCACAACUUCAGAAAGCACCACAAUGACAGAAAGUACAACAACAGAAAGUACCACAACUGGUAUUACAACUUCAGAAAGUCCAACAAUAGAAUCCAAAACUACAGAAACCACCACACCAGACACUACAACCACAGAAAGCACCACUACAGGUACCACAACACCAGAAAGCACAACAACCGAGACCACACCAAUAGAAAAUACCACCACAGGCCCCAUAACAGAUAUCCUAAAAACAGAAACCACCAUCACUGGUUCUACAACUCCAGAAAGCAGAACAGUGUUAGAAAGUACAACCACUGGCACCAAUACUCCAGAAAGUACAACAACAGAGACCACAACAACAGAAAAUACCACCCCCGGGGCAACAACCGAGACCACAACGAUAGAAAGUACCACCACUGGCACCACAACAGAGAUCACGACAACAGAAGGGACCACCACUCCAGACAGUACUACCACAGAGACCACAACAAUAGAAAGCACAGCCAUUGGUACCACAACUCCAGAAAGCACCUCAAUGACAGAAAGUACAACAAUGGAAGCAACAACUACAAAAAGCACCACAACAGACACUACAACAACAGAAAGCACCACCACAGGUAACUCAGCACCAGAAAGUACAACAACUGAGACCACACCAAUAGAAAGCACCACAACAGAGACCAUAACAGCAGAAAGCACCACCACUGAUUCUACAACUCCAGAAAGCACAACAGUGUUAGAAAGUACAACCACUGGCACCACUACUCCAGGAAGUACAACAACAGAGACCACAACAACAGAAAGUACCAAGCCGCGGACAACAACUGAGACCACAACAAUAGAAAGUACCACCAUAACUGAGAUCACAACAACAGAAGGCACCACCACUACAGAAAGUAUUACCGCAGAGACCACAACAGAAAGCACCACCACCAGUACCACAACUCCAGAAAGAACCACAAUGACAGAAAGUGCAAUCACUGGAACCACCACUACAGAAAGUACAACAACAGAAAGAUCUACAACAGAAAGUACCACAACCGACACUACAACAACAGAAAGCACCACCACAGGUACCACAAUACCAGAAAGCACAACAGCUGAGACCACAACAAUAGAAAGUAUCACCACAGGCACCACAACAGACACAAUAACAACAGAAAGCACCACCACUGGUUCUACAAUUCCAGAGAGCACAACACUGUUAGAAAGUACAACCACUGGCACCACUACUCCAGAAAGUACAAUAACAGAGACCACAACAAGAGAAAGUACCACCCCCGGGACAACAACCAUGACCACAACAAUAGAAAGUACCACCACAACUGAGAUCACAACAACAGAAGGCACCACCACUACAGAUAGUACUACCACAGAGACCACAACAACUGAAAGCACCAUAAUGACAGAGAGUAUAACCACUGGCUCCACCACUUCAGAAAGUACCACAACAGAAAGCACUUCAACAGAAAGUACCACCCCUGUUAUUACAACUUCAGGAAGUACAACAAUGGAAACCACAACUACAGAAAGCACCACAUCAGACACUACAACAUCAGAAAGCAUCACUACAGGUACCACAACACCAGAAAGUACAACUGAAACCACAACAAUAGAAAGUACCACCACAGGCACCACAACAGACACCAUAACAACAGAAAGCACCACCACUGGUUCUACAACUCCAGAAAGCACAACAGAGUUAGAAAGUACAACUACUGGCACCACUACUCCAGAAAGUACAAGAACAGAGACCACAACAACAGAAAGUACCACCCCCGGGACAACAACAGAGACCACAACAGUAGAAAGUACAACUACUGGUACCGCAACAACAGAAGGCACCACCACUUCAGAAAGUACAACAACAGAAAGCACUACAACGGAAAAUACCACCCCUGGCAUUACAACUUCAGAAAGUACAAAGAUGGAAACAACAACUACAGAAAGCAGCACAACAGACACUGCAACAACAGUAAGCACCACCACAGGUACCACAACACCAGAAAGCACAACAACUGAGACCACAACAAUGGAAAGUACCACCUCAGGCACCACCACAGGCACCACAACAGACCCCAUAACAACACAAAGCACCACCACUGGUUUUACAACUCCAGAAAGCACAACAGAGUUAGAAAGUCCAACUACUGGCACCACUACUCCAGAAAGUACAACAAUGGAGACCACAGCAACAGAAAGUACCACCACUGGUACCACAACAAUAGAAGGCACCACCAAUUCAGAAAGUACAACAACAGAGACCACAACAACAGAAAGUACCAAGCCGCGGAUAACAACUGAGACCACAACAAUAGAAAGUACCACCAUAACUGAGAUCACAACAACAGAAGGCACCACCACUACAGAAAGUAUUACCGCAGAGACCACAACAGAAAGCACCACCACCAGUACCACAACUCCAGAAAGAACCACAACGACAGAAAGUGCAACCACUGGAACCACCACUACAGAAAGUACAACAACAGAAAGAUCUACAACAGAAAGUACCACAACCGACACUACAACAACAGAAAGCACCACCACAGGUACCACAAUACCAGAAAGCACAACAGCUGAGACCACAACAAUAGAAAGUAUCACCACAGGCACCACAACAGACACAAUAACAACAGAAAGCACCACCACUGCUUCUACAACUCCAGAAAGCACAACCGUGUUAGAAAGUACGAAAGCACAACAACUGAGACCACAACAAUAG